CUAGCUUCCCAGUGGCCCAUAAAAUAACGGUAACAUUUAUUGGGCACAUGUUUUGUGCCAAGUGCUCUCAAGGAGAUCUUAAAGAGAGGCUAUUAGCAGCUCCAUGCCUGAGAACAGAGAGGGUGUGUGACUCUACCAAGCUCACAUGUACUAGGAGAUCCUGCGGCCCAAACUGGAGCCCCGGCCGCUGACCACCAGAGCCUUCGGACUUCACCACCAGACCCCCUGCUUCUCAAGAAAAGGUGGGUUUGUGAAGUGCAGUGAGGAGGAGACAGAAGAGCAUCUCAGGGACCUGGGGGACUCAUCCCCGGCGAAGCCGAGCCACAGGGCCAGUGUUCCUGGGGAAUUAGCCCAGCGCCAGAGUGGACUCCCUGAGACGGCACAGCCAGGAUUUGGGGAAAGCUGAGUACAGAGAGGGUAUUGCUGAGAGAAGGAGCCAAGUCUCGGCUUAGCCAGAGGAUACGAGUCAGGAGGGAGGAGCAAGGAAGGACCGGCAGCCUGAGGGUUCAGGGCCUGGGGCUGGCCCGUGAGUACCCUGGAGCAGUAGCCCCCGCAGAGCUACAUCGGGCUGAGGUCCCUGGGCCUGUCAUGGGUGCUCCGGUGUCCCUGGCUCUGUAGGCAAAGCCAGCAUUCUGACCAGCUGAGCGGGGCGUGCUGGAGAGCACGCCGGGGGUGGGGGCCCUUCGAGGGCUGUGAUCUGGAAGACCCGUCGUGGGAGGAAGAGCUGGCCAGCCUCCUUGCACAUUUUCACGGCUGCGUGGUCCUCUGAUGUGUGGACACCCGGACCCUUAUUUAGCCACUCCCAUCCCAGCGGACGUUUAGGUCGCCAGCUGCUGUGGGUCUGUCUGUGGGACAAAUUCCAAGAAGGAGAACUGCCAGGUCAGAGUACAAGCAUCCACAUUUCACAUAUGAGGAAAUCGAGGCACAGAGAGUUUGAUGAACUUUUGCAAGUUCACACAGCCAGUAAGAUGCUGAUGACAUUGACACAUUGCUAAGAGAAAAAAAGGUCUGAGAUGUCAUGGGCACUAACAAAUGCUCCUUGAAUGUCUUUGAGCAAAUGAAAGAACGGACGGGUGUGUGGAGUCUCCUUGCAGCUCUUGGCACUCUGACCAGCAUUUGCCAACACCCACUCACCUGUGCC